UGUAGCACAGCGGGAGGUGGCAAAAGAGGAGAUGCUAUUUGCAUAAAGUGUUUCUGGUAAAGAGAUAGAAACAGAAGAAUAGAAUAAAAAGGGCCCUUUUCUCCUAUGUUACUGGCUUCAGGGAAUAUAUUUCAUACCAAGAAAAGGAAUGGAUAGAACUGAGAUCGUAGGAUUGACUGCUGCAGCGAACAUUGUUUAUGUGCCAACAUCCACAGUAUACAAAUGAUACGGCCAUGGGACCCGGAUGGAAAAUGCAGUGAGCACUAGGAGACAGUCCCCGGCCCCAGAGCUCGCAGCCUCUGGAAGCAAACACACAGCCCAGGUGAGAAAGCAAAGGUCCACAGAAGGAGAUGGCGUGCCCUGCCAAAUUCAGUUUUCCUCUGCUACAAGCCACAAUUCUAUAUACAAACCUCGGUAAAAGAAGAAAAGCAAUACUUCUCCUGCCUACUGCACAGACUUAUACUGAGUGAAGAGGUGAAUUUGCAGGAUGAAGCUAGAAAGAGUAUUUCCUUUGUGAUAGGAGCUCCCAGGAGACAAGACAUCUUAACUGAGAAGAAUGAACUACUAAUGAUGGAGUAGAAGACUCUUGGGCAUAUUAUAGAAGAUGAUAUUUUGGGAUAAGACAGUCUUCAUUUGCUCUCUAAUCAUACCAUGAGGGUGUCUGGCCAGAUUAUUAUCCACAUACACAUUUUAGGAAGUACAAUUUGUGACAAAUGUAAAAAUUGUGGAAUC
rnacentral:lncRNA from 1 species